rnacentral:lncRNA from 1 species
AAAGUAAUUGCAUGAAGAAUAAACUGUUUUAUAAAAAUCGUUCCUACAUGAAAUGGUAAAAGAGUGGAUUGUCGACUCUGGGCACCAAUGUAUGUCUAUCUUUGUUUUUUUUCCUCUCUUUGACUAUAAAAAUACUACACACUCUUCAUUUUCUUCUUUCAAUGGGCUUUUCCUUUCAAAUGACAACUGCCUCUUCCUGUUGCGAGAGCCUUGCAAGAAACCAACCCCCUC